rnacentral:rRNA from 1 species
UACGUAGGCGGGAAAUUAAGUCAGUAGUGAAAUCCCGCAGCUUAACUGUGGAACUGUUAUUGAUACUGGUUUUCUUGAAUAUAGUUGAGGUAGGCGGAAUGUGUAAUGUAGCGGUGAAAUGCUUAGAUAUUACACAGAACACCGAUUGCGAAGGCAGCUUACUAAGCUAUGAUUGACGCUGAGGUACGAAAGCGUGGGGAGCGAACAGGAUUAGAUACCCUGGUAGUCC